rnacentral:rRNA from 1 species
AUUGAACGCUGGCGGCAGGCCUAACACAUGCAAGUCGAGCGGCAGCGGAAAGUAGCUUGCUACUUUGCCGGCGAGCGGCGGACGGGUGAGUAAUGUCUGGGAAACUGCCUGAUGGAGGGGGAUAACUACUGGAAACGGUGGCUAAUACCGCAUAACGUCGCAAGACCAAAGUGGGGGACCUUCGGGCCUCACGCCAUCGGAUGUGCCCAGAUGGGAUUAGCUAGUAGGUGGGGUAAUGGCUCACCUAGGCGACGAUCCCUAGCUGGUCUGAGAGGAUGACCAGCCACACUGGAACUGAGACACGGUCCAGACUCCUACGGGAGGCAGCAGUGGGGAAUAUUGCACAAUGGGCGCAAGCCUGAUGCAGCCAUGCCGCGUGUGUGAAGAAGGCCUUCGGGUUGUAAAGCACUUUCAGCGAGGAGGAAGGCAUCACACUUAAUACGUGUGGUGAUUGACGUUACUCGCAGAAGAAGCACCGGCUAACUCCGUGCCAGCAGCCGCGGUAAUACGGAGGGUGCAAGCGUUAAUCGGAAUUACUGGGCGUAAAGCGCACGCAGGCGGUUUGUUAAGUCANAUGUGAAAUCCCCGCGCUUAACGUGGGAACUGCAUUUGAAACUGGCAAGCUAGANUCUUG